rnacentral:rRNA from 1 species
UUAAGCGACUAAGCGUACACGGUGGAUGCCCUGGCAGUCAGAGGCGAUGAAGGACGUGCUAAUCUGCGAAAAGCGUCGGUAAGGUGAUAUGAACCGUUAUAACCGGCGAUGUCCGAAUGGGGAAACCCAGUGUGAUUCGUCACACUAUCGUUAACUGAAUACAUAGGUUAACGAGGCGAACCGGGGGAACUGAAACAUCUAAGUACCCCGAGGAAAAGAAAUCAACCGAGAUUCCCCCAGUAGCGGCGAGCGAACGGGGAGCAGCCCAGAGUCUGAAUCAGCUUGUGUGUUAGUGGAACGGUCUGGAAAGUCCGACGGUACAGGGUGAUAGUCCCGUACACCAAAAUGCACAGGCUGUGAACUCGAAGAGUAGGGCGGGACACGUGGUAUCCUGUCUGAAUAUGGGGGGACCAUCCUCCAAGGCUAAAUACUCCUGACUGACCGAUAGUGAACCAGUACCGUGAGGGAAAGGCGAAAAGAACCCCGGCGAGGGGAGUGAAAAAGAACCUGAAACCGUGUACGUACAAGCAGUGGGAGCACCUUCGGGUGUGACUGCGUACCUUUUGUAUAAUGGGUCAGCGACUUAUAUUCUGUAGCAAGGUUAACCGUAUAGGGGAGCCGCAGGGAAACCGAGUCUUAACUGGGCGUUAAGUUGCAGGGUAUAGACCCGAAACCCGGUGAUCUAGCCAUGGGCAGGUUGAAGGUUGGGUAACACUAACUGGAGGACCGAACCGACUAAUGUUGAAAAAUUAGCGGAUGACUUGUGGCUGGGGGUGAAAGGCCAAUCAAACCGGGAGAUAGCUGGUUCUCCCCGAAAGCUAUUUAGGUAGCGCCUCGUGAACUCAUCUUCGGGGGUAGAGCACUGUUUCGGCUAGGGGGUCAUCCCGACUUACCAACCCGAUGCAAACUACGAAUACCGAAGAAUGUUAUCACGGGAGACACACGGCGGGUGCUAACGUCCGUCGUGAAGAGGGAAACAACCCAGACCGCCAGCUAAGGUCCCAAAGUCAUGGUUAAGUGGGAAACGAUGUGGGAAGGCACAGACAGCCAGGAUGUUGGCUUAGAAGCAGCCAUCAUUUAAAGAAAGCGUAAUAGCUCACUGGUCGAGUCGGCCUGCGCGGAAGAUGUAACGGGGCUAAACCAUGCACCGAAGCUGCGGCAGCGACACGAUGUGUUGUUGGGUAGGGGAGCGUUCUGUAAGCCUGCGAAGGUGNUGUGAACUCGAAGAGUAGGGCGGGACACGUGGUAUCCUGUCUGAAUAUGGGGGGACCAUCCUCCAAGGCUAAAUACUCCUGACUGACCGAUAGUGAACCAGUACCGUGAGGGAAAGGCGAAAAGAACCCCGGCGAGGGGAGUGAAAAAGAACCUGAAACCGUGUACGUACAAGCAGUGGGAGCACCUUUAUGGUGUGACUGCGUACCUUUUGUAUAAUGGGUCAGCGACUUAUAUUCUGUAGCAAGGUUAACCGUAUAGGGGAGCCGCAGGGAAACCGAGUCUUAACUGGGCGUUAAGUUGCAGGGUAUAGACCCGAAACCCGGUGAUCUAGCCAUGGGCAGGUUGAAGGUUGGGUAACACUAACUGGAGGACCGAACCGACUAAUGUUGAAAAAUUAGCGGAUGACUUGUGGCUGGGGGUGAAAGGCCAAUCAAACCGGGAGAUAGCUGGUUCUCCCCGAAAGCUAUUUAGGUAGCGCCUCGUGAACUCAUCUUCGGGGGUAGAGCACUGUUUCGGCUAGGGGGUCAUCCCGACUUACCAACCCGAUGCAAACUACGAAUACCGAAGAAUGUUAUCACGGGAGACACACGGCGGGUGCUAACGUCCGUCGUGAAGAGGGAAACAACCCAGACCGCCAGCUAAGGUCCCAAAGUCAUGGUUAAGUGGGAAACGAUGUGGGAAGGCACAGACAGCCAGGAUGUUGGCUUAGAAGCAGCCAUCAUUUAAAGAAAGCGUAAUAGCUCACUGGUCGAGUCGGCCUGCGCGGAAGAUGUAACGGGGCUAAACCAUGCACCGAAGCUGCGGCAGCGACACUAUGUGUUGUUGGGUAGGGGAGCGUUCUGUAAGCCUGCGAAGGUGGCCUGUGAGGGUCGCUGGAGGUAUCAGAAGUGCGAAUGCUGACAUAAGUAACGAUAAAGCGGGUGAAAAGCCCGCUCGCCGGAAGACCAAGGGUUCCUGUCCAACGUUAAUCGGGGCAGGGUGAGUCGACCCCUAAGGCGAGGCCGAAAGGCGUAGUCGAUGGGAAACAGGUUAAUAUUCCUGUACUUGGUGUUACUGCGAAGGGGGGACGGAGAAGGCUAUGUUAGCCGGGCGACGGUUGUCCCGGUUUAAGCAUGUAGGCUGNUUAUCCAGGCAAAUCCGGAUAAUCAAGGCUGAGGUGUGAUGACGAGGCACUACGGUGCUGAAGUAACAAAUGCCCUGCUUCCAGGAAAAGCCUCUAAGCAUCAGGUAACAUCAAAUCGUACCCCAAACCGACACAGGUGGUCAGGUAGAGAAUACCAAGGCGCUUGAGAGAACUCGGGUGAAGGAACUAGGCAAAAUGGUGCCGUAACUUCGGGAGAAGGCACGCUGGUGUGUAGGUGAAGCCCCUGCGGGUGGAGCUGAGACCAGUCGAAGAUACCAGCUGGCUGCAACUGUUUAUUAAAAACACAGCACUGUGCAAACACGAAAGUGGACGUAUACGGUGUGACGCCUGCCCGGUGCCGGAAGGUUAAUUGAUGGGGUUAUCCGUAAGGAGAAGCUCUUGAUCGAAGCCCCGGUAAACGGCGGCCGUAACUAUAACGGUCCUAAGGUAGCGAAAUUCCUUGUCGGGUAAGUUCCGACCUGCACGAAUGGCGUAAUGAUGGCCAGGCUGUCUCCACCCGAGACUCAGUGAAAUUGAACUCGCUGUGAAGAUGCAGUGUACCCGCGGCAAGACGGAAAGACCCCGUGAACCUUUACUAUAGCUUGACACUGAACAUUGAGCCUUGAUGUGUAGGAUAGGUGGGAGGCUUUGAAGCGUGGACGCCAGUCUGCGUGGAGCCAACCUUGAAAUACCACCCUUUAAUGUUUGAUGUUCUAACGUUGGCCCCUGACCGGGGUUGCGGACAGUGUCUGGUGGGUAGUUUGACUGGGGCGGUCUCCUCCCAAAGCGUAACGGAGGAGCACGAAGGUUAGCUAAUCCUGGUCGGACAUCAGGAGGUUAGUGCAAUGGCAUAAGCUAGCUUGACUGCGAGCGUGACGGCGCGAGCAGGUGCGAAAGCAGGUCAUAGUGAUCCGGUGGUUCUGAAUGGAAGGGCCAUCGCUCAACGGAUAAAAGGUACUCCGGGGAUAACAGGCUGAUACCGCCCAAGAGUUCAUAUCGACGGCGGUGUUUGGCACCUCGAUGUCGGCUCAUCACAUCCUGGGGCUGAAGUAGGUCCCAAGGGUAUGGCUGUUCGCCAUUUAAAGUGGUACGCGAGCUGGGUUUAGAACGUCGUGAGACAGUUCGGUCCCUAUCUGCCGUGGGCGCUGGAGAAUUGAGGGGGGCUGCUCCUAGUACGAGAGGACCGGAGUGGACGCAUCACUGGUGUUCGGGUUGUCAUGCCAAUGGCACUGCCCGGUAGCUAAAUGCGGAAGAGAUAAGUGCUGAAAGCAUCUAAGCACGAAACUUGCCCCGAGAUGAGUUCUCCCUGAGACUUUAAGUCUCCUGAAGGAACGUUGAAGACGACGACGUUGAUAGGCCGGGUGUGUAAGCGCAGCGAUGCGUUGAGCUAACCGGUACUAAUGAACCGUGAGGCUUAACCUU